rnacentral:lncRNA from 1 species
GAGUACUAAGAAGAUCGGGAAUUGGAAAAAUUCUCUCAAAUUCUUGGUAAUUCCCGGAAAAGUUCUCUUAAAUUCUUGGUAAAAACCAAUCGAAAGGGCUGUAGAAUUCUUCUUCCUUGGAGUCAAAUCUUUCAUUCGCCAUAAAGAAGAACCAACAACCUGGAAGCCUCCUCAAAUUGGUCUUAAGCAUAAUGUAGAUGGAUCCUAUGACCACUCCACAAAAAUAGGAGGAGCGGGGGGUGUCUUUAGAAAUAAUUUAGGUGAUUGGGUUAGGGGUUAUAGUACAAAACUAAAUGUUAACUCUCUUUUGGAUGCAAAACUUACAAGCUUAUUUUAUGGUCUUCUAUUUGCUCUUAAGCUGCAGGCCCCACAUUUAGAAAUUGCAACAGCUUCACCAGAGGUAAUAAAAGCUCUCGAUCCCCAUAACGAUGUUAAUAACACUUAAGCUUCUUCAUGCAAGGAUCUUCUAACCAGCCUGGGGAGCCCAACGAUAAUGCAUAAAUCAAGGAAGCUCAAUACAGUUGCAGAUAGGCUAGCUAAGGAAGGCCAUAAGUUACAUAAUAAUGUGUUCGUAGAAUGGGUUGAUCUGCCAGAUUUUGCUCGUUCGUCGCCUGUUGAAGACACCAGCAGCCACCCUCCUAUAGAGGAUGUUGCUUCACUUUUAUCUCUAGCAUUGUGUUAGCUUUUUGUUAGUCUUGCUGUGCCACACUACCCGAAUUAUGUUAACUGUUUUGUUGGGCCAGUCGAGCCCCUAACUAUCAGGUUUAUGUAACUAGUUCUACUCCUUUAGGUACUGAUAAGCUGCUUGCAGCUCCUACUGUAAACUCCUGUGAUGCAUAUUAAUAGUAAUGAAUAAAAUAUCCUUUUAACCAAAAACAA